GCGGGGAAGAGGAAGAAAGAGAGGCCCCAAGAGCAGUAGGAAUGAGAACACGAAGGAACGCGAGUUUCUCUCCUCUAGCACUGGAGGACAUUUGCACCGUCGAUUUUGCGUUCCUGAUGCUCUCAUUCCUAUGGUUCUUGGGUUCUCCUUCCUCUUCCUUCUGCUU
rnacentral:pre_miRNA from 1 species